rnacentral:rRNA from 1 species
CCUACGGGAGGCAGCAGUGAGGAAUAUUGGUCAAUGGGCGCGAGUCUGAACCAGCCAAGUCGCGUGAGGGAUGAAGGCUCUAUGGAUUGUAAACUUCUUUUAUAAGGGAAUAAAGCGAGGGACGUGUGCCUUUUUGCAUGUACUUUAUGAAUAAGGAUCGGCUAACUCCGUGCCAGCAGCCGCGGUAAUACGGAGGAUCCGAGCGUUAUCCGGAUUUAUUGGGUUUAAAGGGAGCGUAGGUGGGUUGUUAAGUCAGUGGUGAAAGUUUGUGGCUCAACCGUAAAAUUGCCAUUGAUACUGGGAGUCUUGAGUAUAGUUGAGGCAAGCGGAAUGCGUGGUGUAGCGGUGAAAUGCUUAGAUAUCACGAAGAACCCCGAUUGCGAAGGCAGCCUACCAAGCCGUGACUGACACUGAUGCACGAAAGCGUGGGGAUCAAACAGGAUUAGAUACCCGAGUAGUC